rnacentral:rRNA from 1 species
GAGAGUUGAUCAUGGCUCAGGAUGAACGCUAGCUACAGGCUUAACACAUGCAAGUCGAGGGGCAGCAUGAUCAAGCUUGCUUGAUGAUGGCGACCGGCGCACGGGUGAGUAACGCGUAUCCAACUUCCCUAUAGUAGUGGAUAGCCCGGCGAAAGUCGGAUUAAUACACUAUGUUAUUCAACGAGGACAUCUGAAAUGAAUCAAAGGCUUGCCGCUAUAGGAUGGGGAUGCGUCUGAUUAGAUAGUAGGCGGGGUAACGGCCCACCUAGUCGACGAUCAGUAGGGGUUCUGAGAGGAAGGUCCCCCACAUUGGAACUGAGACACGGUCCAAACUCCCACGGGAGGCAGCAGUGAGGAAUAUUGGUCAAUGGACGGGAGUCUGAACCAGCCAAAGUAGCGUGCAGGAUGACGGCCCUAUGGGUUGUAAACUGCUUUUAUCGGGGAUAAAGUCACCCACGUGUGGGUGUUUGUAGGUACCCGAUGAAUAAGGACCGGCUAAUUCCGUGCCAGCCGCCGC